CUCAUGCAAAUAGAAUCUAACUGGAGAUUUGGGGGAAGGAAACUGACUAACAAAAAAUGGCUGCUUUCCAAAGAAACAAAAAAUAAAAUAAAAAUUCAGGAACACUUCUUACAACUGUUCUGUGUGGUACAGCUUGAAACAUGUUCCUACACACAGUCCUGGUUUCGAAGGGCAAUCAGGACAGUGAAAAGGGGUGUCUGUCCUUUUCCCGUUUUUAAAACAGACCCGGCAACAUUUCUGGCGGGGGUUUUCUAGCAGUUGGCG